GAUGAACGCUGGCGGCGUGCCUAAUACAUGCAAGUCGAGCGAAGCGGGGACGGGUGAGUAACACGUGGGAAACCUCCUAUAGGCCUGGGAAAACUUCGGGAAACCUGAGCUAACCCCGUUACUUAUCGAUGGAUCCGCGCUGCAUUAGCUAGUUGCUAAGCUAACGGCUUACCAAGCCUACGAUGCCUAGCCGAACUGAGAGGAGGAUCGGCCACACUGGAACUGAGACACGGUCCAGACUCCUACGGGAGGCAGCAGUAGGGAAUCUUCCGCAAUGGGCGAAAGCCUGACGGAGCAACGCCGCGUGAGUGAUGAAGGUCUUCGGAUCGUAAAACUCUGUUAUUAGGGAAGCGGUACCUAAUCAGAAAGCCACGGCUAACUACGUGCCAGCAGCCGCGGUAAUUC
rnacentral:rRNA from 1 species